rnacentral:tRNA from 1 species
UCCUGGUUAGCUCAGUUGGGAGAGCGCUCCACCGGCAAUGAGAGGUCCCUGGUUCGAUACCAGGACCAGGCG